AUGAACGCUGGCGGCGUGCCUAAUACAUGCAAGUCGAGCGAACGGACGAGAAGCUUGCUUUUCUGAUGUUAGCGGCGGACGGGUGAGUAACACGUGGAUAACCUACCUAUAAGACUGGGAUAACUUCGGGAAACCGGAGCUAAUACCGGAUAAUAUUUUGAACCGCAUGGUUCAAAAGUGAAAGACGGUCUUGCUGUCACUUAUAGAUGGAUCCGCGCUGCAUUAGCUAGUUGGUAAGGUAACGGCUUACCAAGGCAACGAUGCAUAGCCGACCUGAGAGGGUGAUCGGCCACACUGGAACUGAGACACGGUCCAGAUUCCUACGGGAGGCAGCAGUAGGGAAUCUUCCGCAAUGGGCGAAAGCCUGACGGAGCAACGCCGCGUGAGUGAUGAAGGUCUUCGGAUCGUAAAACUCUGUUAUUAGGGAAGAACAUAUGUGUAAGUAACUGUGCACAUCUUGACGGUACCUAAUCAGAAAGCCACGGCUAACUACGUG
rnacentral:rRNA from 1 species